CCAGAGAACUUAGCAGAGAUGCUUUGGUGCCUUCGGGAACUCUGAGACAGGUGCUGCAUGGCUGUCGUCAGCUCGUGUUGUGAAAUGUUGGUUAAGUCCCGCAACGAGCGCAACCCUUAUCCUUUGUUGCCAGCGGUCCGGCCGGGAACUCAAAGGAGACUGCCAGUGAUAAACUGGAGGAAGGUGGGGAUGACGUCAAGUCAUCAUGGCCCUUACGAGUAGGGCUACACACGUGCUACAAUGGCGCAUACAAAGAGAAGCGACCUCGCGAGAGCAAGCGGACCUCAUAAAGUGCGUCGUAGUCCGGAUUGGAGUCUGCAACUCGACUCCAUGAAGUCGGAAUCGCUAGUAAUCGUAGAUCAGAAUGCUACGGUGAAUACGUUCCCGGGCCUUGUACACACCGCCCGUCACACCAUGGGAGUGGGUUGCAAAAGAAGUAGGUAGCUUAACCUUCGGGGAGGGCGCUUACCACUUUGUGAUUCAUGACUGGGGUGAAGUCGUAACAAGGUAGGCGUACGUGU
rnacentral:rRNA from 1 species